rnacentral:rRNA from 1 species
CAGUAGCCGCGGUAAAACGAAGGGUGCAAGCGUUACUCGGAAUUACUGGGCGUAAAGCGUGCGUAGGUGGUGGUUUAAGUCCGUUGUGAAAGCCCUGGGCUCAACCUGGGAAUUGCAGUGGAUACUGGGUCACUAGAGUGUGGUAGAGGAUAGUGGAAUUUCCGGUGUAGCAGUGAAAUGCGUAGAGAUCGGAAGGAACAUCUGUGGCGAAGGCGACUAUCUGGGCCAACACUGACACUGAGGCACGAAAGCGUGGGGAGCAAACAGGAUUAGAUACCCCUCUAGUCCCUGUCUCUUAUAC